rnacentral:tRNA from 1 species
AUUUUUAUGUCCAAGUAAUUAAGGAGACAGACUUGAAAUAUGUUGGGUCAGGUUCAAACCCUGUUGUCAACA